CUUGAGCUAAUACCGGAUACGUCCGAGAGGAGAAAGAUUUAUCGCCGAAGGAUCGGCCCGCGUCUGAUUAGCUAGUUGGUGAGGUAACGGCUCACCAAGGCGACGAUCAGUAGCUGGUCUGAGAGGAUGAUCAGCCACAUUGGGACUGAGACACGGCCCAAACUCCUACGGGAGGCAGCAGUGGGGAAUAUUGGACAAUGGGCGCAAGCCUGAUCCAGCCAUGCCGCGUGAGUGAUGAAGGCCUUAGGGUUGUAAAGCUCUUUUACCUGGGAAGAUAAUGACGGUACCAGGAGAAUAAGCCCCGGCUAACUUCGUGCCAGCAGCCGCGGUAAUACGAAGGGGGCUAGCGUUGUUCGGAUUUACUGGGCGUAAAGCGCACGUAGGCGGAUCUUUAAGUCAGGGGUGAAAUCCCAAGGCUCAACCUUGGAACUGCCUUUGAUACUGGGG
rnacentral:rRNA from 1 species